UGAGGUCAACAGGAAUCGAACCUGUAUCUAGAAGCUUUGGAGGCUUUCGCAAUGCCAUUAUACCAUGACCCC
rnacentral:tRNA from 1 species